AAUAUCGCGCAAUGGUGGAAACCCUGACGCAGCGUCGCCGCUUGAACGAUGAAGGCCUUCGGGUCGUAAAGUUCUGUCCUCAGGGAAGAAUUUGGUCAUUUAUGACGCCUUGACGGUACCGUAGGAGGAGCCUCGGGCUAACUACUGGCCAGCAGCCGCGGUAAUACGUAGGGGGCAACCGUUGUCCGGAAUUAUUGGGCGUAAAGGGUGCGUAGGCGGCCUUUCAAGUCAGAUGUGAAAGACCACAGCUUAACUGUGGGAUUGCAUUUGAAACUAGAAGGCUUGAGUGUCGGAGAGGGUAGUGGAAUUCCCGGAGUAGCGGUGAAAUGCGUAGAUAUCGGGAGGAACACCAGUGGCGAAGGCGACUACCUGGACGACAACUGACGCUGAGGCACGAAAGCUAGGGGAGCAAAC
rnacentral:rRNA from 1 species